UACGUAGGGGGCAAGCGUUGUCCGGAUUUAUUGGGCGUAAAGCGCGUGUAGGCGGCUUGGCAAGUCCGCUGUGAAAACUCGAGGCUCAACCUCGAGAUGUCGGUGGAAACUGCUUGGCUAGAGUCCGGAAGAGGAGUGUGGGAAUUCCUGGUGUAGCGGUGAAAUGCGCAGAUAUCAGGAAGAACACCUAUGGCGAAGGCAGCACUCUGGGACGGUACUGACGCUGAGACGCGAAAGCGUGGGGAGCGAACAGG
rnacentral:rRNA from 1 species